rnacentral:ncRNA from 1 species
UUCCAUAUUGGCUAAGAGGGAAGCAGGUGCAAGUCCUGCGCGGUUGCCGCCGCUGUAUGGGAGGAGCGUUAUCUAUUAUACCACUGGGAUUCUGCUGAUGCCGGGAAGGAAGAUAACGUUACGAUGCCUGAGCCAGAAGACCUGCUUGAAAUAAU